rnacentral:rRNA from 1 species
CCUCGGGAGGCAGCAGUGGGGAAUAUUGGACAAUGGGCGAAAGCCUGAUCCAGCCAUGCCGCGUGUGUGAAGAAGGCCUUCGGGUUGUAAAGCACUUUCAGUGGGGAAGAAAGCCUUGGGGCUAAUACCCUCGAGGAAGGACAUCACCCACAGAAGAAGCACCGGCUAACUCCGUGCCAGCAGCCGCGGUAAUACGGAGGGUGCGCGCGUUAAUCGGAAUUACUGGGCGUAAAGCGCGCGUAGGCGGUCUGAUAAGCCGGUUGUGAAAGCCCCGGGCUCAACCUGGGAACGGCAUCCGGGACUGUCAGGCUAGAGUGCAGGAGAGGAAGGUAGAAUUCCCGGUGUAGCGGUGAAAUGCGUAGAGAUCGGGAGGAAUACCAGUGGCGAAGGCGGCCUUCUGGACUGACACUGACGCUGAGGUGCGAAAGCGUGGGUAGCAAACAGGAUUAGAUACCCUAGUAGUC